UACGUAGGUCCCGAGCGUUGUCCGGAUUUAUUGGGCGUAAAGCGAGCGCAGGUGGUUUAUUAAGUCUGGUGUAAAAGGCAGUGGGUCAACCAUUGUAUGCAUUGGAAACUGGUAGACUUGAGUGCAGGAGAGGAGAGUGGAAUUCCAUGUGUAGCGGUGAAAUGCGUAGAUAUAUGGAGGAACACCGGUGGCGAAAGCGGCUCUCUGGCCUGUAACUGACACUGAGGCUCGAAAGCGUGGGGAGCAAACAGG
rnacentral:rRNA from 1 species